UUUUUUUUUUUUUUUUUCCCACUGUACAGCAAGGGAAAUAUUUUUUUAAAGCUAGCCAUCAGUGGGUUCAAUGAACUUUGAUGGUUGAGAACUAUUGUUCCAAGUAGAAUGUUUGUCCUAUUAUGUAACUGACGUAGUUGAGAACCUGAGGGAAUGAGGCAUAUGGACAACAGGCCAGUGGGGUCAAGUCUAAGAAGAACCCAGGGAAGCUGGGAGAUGGGGUGAAGGAAGCAAGAAACUGGAGACAGGUUGGAGGGAUGGGGGAGGAUUAUGGGGUUUUUAGGCAGGAUUCCUUAGGGUCUUGGACCGACUUUCAAUCUGGCUAGGCAUUCAAGGUAGGGAUUGGUAUAACUGCGUAUUAUUUAUGUGAAACCGAGCAGGGCCCUGUGGGGCUCCUGGGCACAAGCCUUUCCGUGUUCCCCAUUUCUUAUUUGUAGGGAAUAAGCUUCAGCCUCCAUGACCUUCCCUGAGUUCUGAAGGGCAGGUUCAAACAGUUGCUAAUCAGGGAAUGGAGGGCAUGCAGAGACCAGAGAGGAGCCCUCCAGAGACAAUAGUGCAGCCCCUGGGGCAGGGUCCCAGAUCCUCUUCAAGGAAUAUACAUAACAAUAUCUUUGAGUUCUUCUGCAGAACUAAAGCCCCAACAAAUGAAAACCAGAGAGGAGGACCACCAGAACCAGACCUGGGGCCCCUAAACAUCAACUUGGGAGAAGAAUGAACGCUCACAUCUACCCCAAUCUUCAUCUGUGGUCCUAUUUUCUACUCCCAAAUUAUAAAGCCCCUUCUUAUUCUCUCCCAAGGGAGGGCACAGUCUUUAAGGCAUUAGCUUCCUGUGGCCUCCUUUGUCUGGCAAAGCAAUAAAGGUAUCUUUUUCUCUUUCACUCCAAAUUCUGUCUCGGUGUUUCUUUUCAACUCUGGUGAACAGGGGCUGAGUUUCGGCAACUCUUGUAUUAGUCAGGGUUCUCCAGAGUAAUGAAACCUAUAGGAUACAGAGAGAUCUAUAAGUGAGGAGACUUAGAGAAAUUGGCUCACAGGGUCGUGGAGGCCACAACAUCCUAUGCUCUGCAAGUUGGACCCAGGAAGGCUGAGGAGUGAGUAAUUCAGUUAGAGUUUGAAGGGCAGGGAAUAAGGGGAUUGAGGGCAUAAACCCCAAUCUGAGUCUGCAAGCUUGAGAACCUAAGCAGGAAGAGAGCAAAUGCACCCUUCUUCUGCUUUUUUUGUUCUUCUGGGCCCCUGAAGGGAUAGAAAGACACUCACCACCCACUGAGAGAGAGAGCCAUCUGCUUUACUUAGUUCACCCAUUCAAAUGCUAAUCUCUUCCUGAAACACCCUCACAGACACACCCAGGAAGAUUUUCGCAGCUAUCUUGGCUUCCCUUAGCCCAGUCAAAUCAACACAUAAAGCUAACCAUCAUAGAGCUUUAUCGCUGAUCAAAAUUUUUAAAUAGUUUUCUCUCUCUGCUUACCUCACUUAUGCUCCGUGUCAGGUGCUAAAACACUUCAGUAUCCAGAAGCAACCAAUUACCAGUAAUGAGUCUAGAUUUUUCUUUGUGUUCUGAGUCUCCAUUUGUUUGUUUGUUUGUUUUCUUUGAAUGUUUGGUUAGAAUUCAUCUAAGGCGUCUAUGCCAACUGGUACUCAGUGAAAACAUACACCAUUGAAGUCGAUUAGAAGAAAUAUUUCAGCACACCUUCUUAAACAGUUUAAGGUCAAUGGCACAUAUAUAGAUCCAAUUGGCGCUAUCUUCUAUAAUCUUAAACAUAUUUCAAUAAAAAAGUUGAUUUGUAGAGAGAAGCUUUAGAGAUGGAUGAAAAGAUUAUAAAGCAAUAAAGUUGUAAUAAACAGAAGUUUUCUAUAAAUGAGAACAUUAUCCUCAAAACAAUCACCUUUAGGGAUUAAUUACAUAAAAGUUCCAGUGUUUAACAAAUUCCUGAGGCUCCUUUCUAGGAACUAGCUCCAUCCAGAGCCAUUUGUAAAAUCACAAGUUGUGAUCAGUAGGCAUAUGGGACCCGAUCGGUGCGUUUUCUUGGAUUAUCAUGGCCACACCUGCCUAUCAGGCUCUAUGCCACUUGCUGGAUGAGAAGCUCCAGUUGUCACUAGCAUUCCUGGCACUGUCAUUAGCCUUGGCCUCCCUGAAGUUGAGAGCUUGGUUUUGACAUGGCUUCCACUUGAGCCUUCUGCCGUGUGACCUUAUGAAACCAAGCAGGACCCUGUGGGGCUCCUGGGUACAAAAGCCUUUCUGUGUCCCCCAUUUCUUGUUUGUAGUAAAUAGGUUUUGUUCAGCCUCUUUGACCUUCCCUAAGUUCUGAAGGGUAUGUUCAAACAGUUACUAAUCAGGGAAGGGAGGAGCUGCAGAGACAAGGAGGGAACAGUCAAGAAACCAUAGCGCAGGAAGUUCCCUUGUGGUGCAGUAGAUAAAGGAUUCCACAUUGUCGAAGAUUUUGUGCAGGCUGCAACUGCAGUGUGGUUUUGAUCCCUGGCCUGGGAACUUUUCUGUGCCAUGGGCGCAGCCAAAAAAGAAAAAAAGAAAGAAAAAGAAAAAAGAAACAAUAGUGCAGCUAGUGCAGGCUUGGGACAGGAUCCAGGUUCCCCUUCAAGGAAUACGCAGUAUAAUAUAAUAUCUUGGACCUCUUCUGCAGAGCUAAAACCCCCAACAAAUGGAAGAUGUUAACUACUUGAUGAAGCAUCCUUUUUUUCUUCUUCUUUUUCUUCUUAGGGCUGCACCCGCAGCAUAUGGAAAUUCCCAGGCUAGAGGUUGAAUCAGAGCUACAGCUGCCGGCCUAUGACAGCCACAGCAACGCCAGAUCUGAGCAUAGGAAGUCGUUUCCUCCAUCCAGUGGGCCUGGGUCACACAGAUCUGAAGUGUGGAGUUGUUAGGGCCCCAUGGGGAAAACUUGCCUAACACUCAAUGAUAAAAAACUGUUCCUGGGCUUGGAGGUAGAGAAUGGAGCUGUAGCCUUUAUGGUGCUGGCUUUCUUGGUCCUAGGUGUUACCGAAAUUCAGCCUCUGUCCCCCAGUCCUGAACAGAAAUGCAGAGACAGAGUUUUGGGCAAAGUAGAAAGGAGUAGCUUUUAUUGUUUGUCUGGCAAAGAAGGCCGCAGCAGGCUAACGCCCUAAAGAAUGUGGCCUCCCUUGAGAGAGAAUAGGAAGGGGUCUUACAGUUUAGGACUGGAAAACAAGGCCGAGGAUAAGGGUCUGAGCAGAUGCAGGCAUGCAUUCUUCUUCAAAGGUGAUGUCGGUGGCCUAGGUGGUCUGGGAUGGGUUGUUGGGUUGUGGGGGCUCUUGAGAUUACGGUUUUGUGACCUUCUUUCUGAAAUAAAGAAUGUUUCAUUAAAAAAAAAAAAGAUCUAUGAGGAUGAGGGUUCAAUCCCUGGACUCAGUGAGCUAUAAGGAUCUGGCAUUGCCAUGAGCUGUGGUAUAGGUCACAGACAGCAGCUCAGGUCUGGCAUUGCUGUGGCGUAGGCCGGCAUCUGUAGCCCGAUUAGACCCCUACCCAGGGAAUCUCUAUAAGCUUCUGGGUGCAGCCCUAAGAAGCAAAAAAUAAAAUAGUCUUCCAUUCUCGUAUUCUGUUCUAUUUUCCUUCAUUGCUUUUAUGAGUAUCUGAAAUCCUAUUACGCUCUUUCCCUCUCUUGUUGGCUUACUAAAAUAAAAACUCCACAUAGAUAAAGAGUUUUACAUGUCAUAUUGUAGCUAAAUACCAAGGAUUUCAAAUAGAGGAGUUAGACUCUUUGUAUCAUGUGGUCAGAAGAAAUUUAAGGUAUUGAUCUUAAGCAUUUAUUUAUUAAUUGAUUUAUUGAUUCAUAGAUUUAACAGAUUUUAAAUUCACUUUUUUUUUUCAAAAUUCUGUUUUCUCAAAUUCUCUCUAUAGGAAGACUUUAAAAAUGUCUAUAUAUCUUCUUCACGAACAUUUCUUGUGACUGAAAGCCCACUAGUCCUAGAAGAACCAUGUUUUGGAUUCAAUCAGGGCUUAUAUUCAGCUGAUAGGUCCUUACAUAAAUGAAUCAGUUGGCAAAAUAUGAAAUGCUUCCAUUUCAGUUAAUAAGUAGUAUAAUAGUAACUGUGAGAGACCAUAUGAUUCAUUUAUAAUAUUAUUUCUAAUGUACAUUAAUUAGUUCAAGAUAAUUAUCUUAGAGUGUUCCAAUGACCAUAGUUAAGCUGGUUUUCUGACACAGAAUGACUUAAUUGAUUAUAAAGAUAUUGGAUAAUGGAAUAUCUCCAGACAAUAUUAUAAAGAUUAGAAAACUUUAAAUGUAAUUAUUAUUUCAGCAAAACCUAGAAAGCCUUCUAUACUAUAAAUAAUAUCAUUUUGGUAAAGAGAAAUUUUCUUUUUAAUGAUUCUAAAAGUAUCUAAUGAGGCCAUGAUAAUGGUGACCAAGAAAUCAAGAUAUGAAAAAAUUAAUAAAGAGAAACCUCAAUUAAAUGAAGCCUGGGGACCAGAAGGGGGCGCUCUCAUGCCCUCAAGGAUCACUGAGCCCAGCGGGAAGAAGUCCUUCCCUGGCAAGGACGCAGCCAAUGAAAAGCCAUGGACUCUUCCUUUAUUAAAGCCCUCCCCAACUUCCUUUUUCAUAAAAAGAUUCUCCUUCCCUUACUGUUUAUGGAUUUAUACGUGGCCUGCCAUGGUUGCAGAUCUCAAAUUGCAAUUUUCCACUGAUCCAGAAUAAACCCAUCUUUGCUGGAGAAAUAAUGGGAGGGAGGGUUUUGUUUUCUGUUGUUGCUGUUGUUAGGUCAAGAGUAUCUUGAGAGCAGUGUGGACGUGGAUUCUGGCAACUCCGUUCAGCUGCUUAGUGGACCAAGGUGACAGUAGCAGAGAGUGUGGGAUCCCCAUCCUUUGUUCCAGCUUGACCCAGAUUGGCAGUGACAUUGCAAGAUGGGUCAAAGGGCAGACACUCUGGGACCGGAUCAUGAGGAAAGCACUGAUCUCCAGGGGUGGGCCUCGGUAUGCCUUGAGGUCACCACUCAGCUGCCUUCUGGAUGCAGUGAACUGAGCAUCAAUAAUUGAAUGACUCCUAACUACAUGGAAGCAUCAGUGGACCUGUUUCAUGUAAUUUCUUACAUCAAACCCUGGCUCAGACAGGAACAUCAUUAGCAAGAGACACAUGUUCAACAAAAGAUGAACACCAGCAAUUCCUCAAGAUCAAUGUAUGAUAUGGAAAUUAUUGGGAUAUCUGAAUCAAUGUUUUACACCAUAUAUUGCAUAUAACCAUAGCACAGUGUCCAUAUCAGGAAAUUAACAUGCUUUACAACUAUUAACUUGAGUUGAAAACUUAUUCCGAUUACACCAGGCUUUAAAUGCAUUCUUGUGUGUGUGUUUUGGGGGAGUUACCUUUAUUUUCAGGGACCUAUUUUCCUUAGCAUCUUGGUGCUAAGGCUGCAGAGCUUCAGCUGCUGCUAGGCAGAGAUAGAUCUACACAUGAGUGAACCCCCGCGUACUCAUAUUCCUUUCACUUCUGUAGAUUCAUGCCACAUGGGGAAGUAGAUCAUGUUUAUUAAUCACUCCAGAAAGUAUGUAAUUUCAUUAGAUCGAGCUCUGUCUCUGGGCAUUGAGUCAUCAGAGGGAACGGCUCCCCAGUGACCCAGAGCUCCUAGGACACGCUCUGUGGAGACCGCACUUU
rnacentral:lncRNA from 1 species